rnacentral:tRNA from 1 species
GAGGGUACGGCUCAAAGUGGUAGAGCCCAUGCUUAGCAUGCAGGAGGUCCUGGGUUCAAUCCCCCAGUGCCUCCU